UACAGAGGGUGCAAACGUUGCUCGGAAUUAUUGGGCGUAAAGCGCACGUAGGCGGUUUGGUAAGUUGGAUGUGAAAACCCUGGGCUCAACCCUGGAAGUGCAUCCAAGACUGUCAAGCUAGAGUGUCGGAGGGGGUCGGAGAAUUCCCGGCGUAGAGGUGAAAUUCGUAGAUAUCGGGAGGAACAUCUGUGGCGAAGGCGCCGACCUGGACGACAACUGACGCUGAGGUGCGAAAGCAUGGGGAGCAAACAGGAUUAGAACCGGUACGU
rnacentral:rRNA from 1 species